GCCUCCAAGGAUGAAUAAAAAUAACUUUCGUUCUUCUGAGUUGCUCCUUGCGGAAAAUUAUUGGAGACCUGAACUGAGGAGGC